AUGUGUAAUUGAACUCGCCCACAGAUUUGCAUUGUGGGAUAGCGAUGGCGGUAAAUACAGUGUCCACAAAACGAUGAUUUCGUUACGAACAUGAUUCGUCGUUAACUGAUGCAGAAAAAUUCAUCAAGGAAGUUUGUGGGGGUGAAUACCUUCUCCAAUUUAUGCUGCGGAAAGGAGACAGAUUAUAUUGGCCCCCUGUGGAUGAAUUCUCUUGGGAGCCAUAUGAUAACAUACAUCGACUUUUGCCAAUACCUGUUUUGUCCAAUUAAGCAGUCUUCCUCUGGAAGACAAUUAUUUUAAUUUUGAAACAUUCACACUCGCUCAUGCUAUUCAAAAUUCAUAUUGAUGUUGCAUUGAAAUAAAUGUUUUCCUUAGCGCUGAAAAAA